AAUAAGACGAGGAGACCCUAUGGAACUUUAAUUUAUUAAUGCAAAUAAAAGCUCAAACAAGCCUACAGGUCCUAGCCUACUAUCCCUACAUUAAAAAUUUUGGUUGGGAUGACCUAGGAGCAUAGUCCAACCUCCAAACAACCUAAACUAAGACCGCAGUAGUCCAAACAAGUUUGGAUAGAUAGAUAGAUAGAUAGAUAGACAUAUAGAUAGAUAUCCAAUAAUUUUAUCAAUGGAGUAAGUUACCCUAGGGAUAACAGCUCAAUCCUAUUCUAGAGUUCAUAUCGACAAUAGGGUUUACAACCUUGGUGUUGGAUCAGGACAUCCUGAUGGUGUAGCCACUAUUAAGGGUUCGUUUGUUCAACGAUUAAAGUCCUGCAUGAUCUGAGUUCAGACUGGAGUAAUCCAGGUUGGUUUCUGUCUAUU
rnacentral:ncRNA from 1 species